GAUGAACGCUAGCGGCAGGCUUAAUACAUGCAAGUCGAGGGGCAGCGCGGGUAGCAAUACCUGGCGGCGACCGGCAAACGGGUGCGGAACACGUACGCAACCUUCCCAAAACUGGUGAAUAGCCCUCCGAAAGGAGGAUUAAUACACCGUACCAUAACGAAGAGGCAUCUCUUUGUUAUUAUAGUAGCAAUACGGUUUUGGAUGGGCGUGCGCCUGAUUAGGUAGUUGGCGGGGUAACGGCCCACCAAGCCUGCGAUCAGUAACUGGUGUGAGAGCACGACCAGUCACACGGGCACUGAGACACGGGCCCGACUCCUACGGGAGGCAGCAGUAAGGAAUAUUGGUCAAUGGACGCAAGUCUGAACCAGCCAUGCCGCGUGAAGGAUGAAGGCCCUCUGGGUUGUAAACUUCUUUUAUCUGGGACGAAAAAGCUACUUUCUAGAGCACUUGACGGUACCAGAGGAAUAAGCACCGGCUAACUCCGUGCCAGCAGCCGCGGUAAAACGUAG
rnacentral:rRNA from 1 species